GACGAACGCUGGCGGCGUGCUUAACACAUGCAAGUCGAACGGAAAGGCCCUGCUUUUGUGGGGUGCUCGAGUGGCGAACGGGUGAGUAACACGUGAGUAACCUGCCCUUGACUUUGGGAUAACUUCAGGAAACUGGGGCUAAUACCGGAUAGGAGCUCCUGCUGCAUGGUGGGGGUUGGAAAGUUUCGGCGGUUGGGGAUGGACUCGCGGCUUAUCAGCUUGUUGGUGGGGUAGUGGCUUACCAAGGCUUUGACGGGUAGCCGGCCUGAGAGGGUGACCGGCCACAUGGGAACUGGGAUACGGCCCAGACUCCUACGGGAGGCAGCGGUGGGGAAUAUGGCACAAGGGGCGGAAGCCUGAUGCAGAAACGCCGCGUGCGGGAUGACGGCCUUCGGGUUGUAAACCGCUUUCGCCUGUGACGAGGCGUGAGUGACGGUAAUGGGUAAAGAAGCACCGGCUAACUACGU
rnacentral:rRNA from 1 species